rnacentral:misc_RNA from 1 species
AACGCACGAGACCUGCGGACCUGCGGAAGGAUCAUUACUGAGUGAGGGCCCUCUGGGUCCAACCUCCCACCCGUGUCUCUUGUACCAUGUUGCUUCGGCGAGCCCGCCUCACGGCCGCCGGGGGGCAUCUGCCCCCGGGCCCGCGCCCGCCGAAGCCCCCUCUGAACGCUGUCUGAAGAUUGCAGUCUGAGCGAUAAGCAAAAAUUAUUUAAAACUUUCAACAACGGAUCUCUAGAUCGG